AUUGAACGCUGGCGGAAUGCUUUACACAUGCAAGUCGAACGGCAGCACGGACUUCGGUCUGGUGGCGAGUGGCGAACGGGUGAGUAAUAUAUCGGAACGUGCCCAGUCGUGGGGGAUAACGUAGUGAAAAUUACGCUAAUACCGCAUACGAUCUAUGGAUGAAAGCGGGGGAGCGCAAGACCUCGCGCGAUUGGAGCGGCCGAUAUCAGAUUAGGUAGUUGGUGAGGUAAAGGCUCACCAAGCCGACGAUCUGUAGCUGGUCUGAGAGGACGACCAGCCACACUGGAACUGAGACACGGUCCAGACUCCUACGGGAGGCAGCAGUGGGGAAUUUUGGACAAUGGACGCAAGUCUGAUCCAGCCAUUCCGCGUGCAGGACGAAGGCCUUCGGGUUGUAAACUGCUUUUGUACAGAACGAAAAGGUCUCUAUUAAUACUAGGGGCUCAUGACGGUACUGUAAGAAUAAGCACCGGCUAACUACGUGCCAGCAGCCGCGGUAA
rnacentral:rRNA from 1 species